rnacentral:lncRNA from 1 species
GAGCUUUCAAGGUCAUGGUGAUCCAGCAUAGCCAGGCCCUCCAUGGGCAGCAGCCUCGGGGGGUGACAGUGGGGGGACACGAGCGAAAGAGGUGCCCAGGCAUAGGGAUGGUGCCAGGGCUGGGCAGGUAGGGGCCCCCUGGGGUCACCUGUGGGGUCAGGUGGUCAUCAUAGACACUACCUGUCUGGACUAAAUAGCAGUGUCCCCGCUCCUUCUUCCUCUCUGAGCCACCUCUGGAAUUGAGGGCAGAAUUAACACUGUGAAGCCAGCUUUGUUUCCAGCCUCCUGGGUCUUGAUGCUGUUGCGCUGGAGAUAAGUGUUGCAGUGGAUCCGGGUGGCCUCACCUCGUCAAGGUAGGGGCAUUCAGCGUGGGCUCUGUGGAGGGCAUGUGUCACUCACAAGCUUGGCCUGGGAUUCCCUUGCAUUAAGCCAAUUCCUCUGAGGCCCCAGGCCUGAAGCUCCUGCAGGCUGCCACCAGGGGACAGUGGUGCCCAGGCUGGUGGCAUAUUUGGGAAUUCUGGACUUAGGCCAGCCUCCCUCCUCCCCUGCACAAGGGCCAG